rnacentral:rRNA from 1 species
GACGAACGCUGGCGGCGUGCUUAACACAUGCAAGUCGAACGCUGAAGCUCAGCUUGCUGGGUGGAUGAGUGGCGAACGGGUGAGUAACACGUGAGUAACCUGCCCCCUUCAUUGGGAUAACGCCCGGAAAAGGGUGCUACUACUGGAUAUUCACUGAUCUUCGCCUGGGGGUUGGUGGAAAGGUUUCUUCUGGUGGGGGAUGGGCUCGCGGCCUAUCAGCUUGUUGGUGGGGUGAUGGCCUACCAAGGCUUUGACGGGUAGCCGGCCGGAGAGGGGGACCGGUGAGAGAGGGGCUGAGAUACGACCCAGACACCGACGAGAGGCAGCAGUGGGGAAUAUGGCACAAAGGGUGAAAGCCGGAUGCAGCGACGCCGCGUGAGGGAUGGAGGCCUUAGGGUUGUAAACCGCUUGCGCUCAUGGUCAAGCCGCAACAUUGGUUGUGGUGCGGGUAGUGGUGAAAGAAGCGCCGGCUAACUACGG